CAAUCGAACCCGGAGAUAGCUGGUUCUCCUCGAAAUAGCUUUAGGGCUAGCCUCGCAUUAGUUUACCGGAGGUAGAGCACUGAAUGGUCUAGGGGGCCUCACCGCCUACCGAAACCUAUCAAACUGCGAAUGCCGGAUAAAUGAUGUGCGGGAGUCAGGCCGCGAGAGAUAAGUUCCGCGGUCAAAAGGGGAACACCCCAGAUCGUCUGCUAAGGUCCCCAAGUACGCGUUAAGUGGGAAAGGAUGUUGGAUUGCACAGACAACCAGGAUGUUGGCUUAGAAGCAGCCACACAUUCAAAGAGUGCGUAAUAGCUCACUGGUCGAGUGAUCCAGCGCCGAAAAUGUAACGGGGCUAAAACGCGACACCGAAGCAGCGGGAUGCGUAAGCAUCGGUAGAGGAGCAUUGUGUGAGGGUUGAAGCCAGAGCGGGAGCACUGGUGGACUUCACAGAAGAGAGAAUGCCGGUAUGAGUAGCGAGACCCAUGCGAGAAACAUGGGCGUCGAAGGCCCAAGGUUUCCUGGGGAAGGUUCAUCCACCCAGGGUAAGUCGGGACCUAAGCCGAGGACUGAGGUCGUAGGCGAUGGACAGCAGGUAGAGAUUCCUGCACCACUUACACUUGUUUGACGAAGCAGUGACACAGAAGGAUAGGACGAGCGCGGUGAUGGUCAACCGCGUAGGCGGCACGAGGCCGGGAAGCAGUGAAGUACACUUCCCGCAAAGGCUGAGUGUUGACAGGACCGAAAAGAAGUAGGGAAGCGUCCGAGUUCACGCUGGCGAGAAAAGCUGCUAAGGAGAGUGUGAGUGCCCGUACCGGAAACCGACGCAGGUGGGCGAGGAGAGAAUCCUGAGACGGACGGGAGAACUCUUGUUAAGGAACUCGGCAAAAUGACCCCGUAACUUCGGGAGAAGGGGUGCCUCGAAAGAGGCCGCAGAGAAUAGUCACAAGCGACUGUUUAGCAAAAACACAGGUAUCUGCGAAAGCGAGAGCUGACGUAUAGGUGCUGACGCCUGCCCGGUGCUGGAAGGUUAAGGGGAAGUGUUAGGGGAAACCCGAAGCAGAGAACCGAAGCCCCAGUAAACGGCGGCCGUAACUAUAACGGUCCUAAGGUAGCGAAAUUCCUUGUCGGGUAAGUUCCGACCCGCACGAAUGGCGUAACGACUUGUGAGCUGUCUCAACAGGAGGCCCGGUGAAAUUGAAGUAUGUGUGAAGAUGCACAUUACCCGCGACUGGACGGAAAGACCCCGUAGAGCUUUACUGUAACCUGACAUUGGAUCUUGAUAACGGAUGCACAGGAUAGGUGGGACGCUGGGAGACGAGGACUUUGGUUUUCGUGGAGCGGCCGUUGGGAUACCACUCUUCUGUUAUUGAGAUUCUAACCUCAAGCCGUGAGCCGGAUGAGAGACAGUGUCAGGCGGACAGUUUGACUGGGGCGGUCGCCUCCGAAAGAGUAACGGAGGCGCCCAAAGGUACCCUCAGAAUGGAUGGAAACCAUUCGAAGAGAGCAAAGUCAGAAGGGUGCUUGACUGCGAGACCAACAAGUCGAGCAGGUACGAAAGUAGGGCUUAGUGAUCCGGCGGUAAGAGAGUGGAAUUGCCGUCGCUCAACGGAUAAAAGCUACCUCGGGGAUAACAGGCU
rnacentral:rRNA from 1 species